UACGUAGGGUGCGAGCGUUAAUCGGAAUUACUGGGCGUAAAGCGUGCACAGGCGGCUUUGCAAGACAGAUGUGAAAUCCCCGGGCUCAACCUGGGAACUGCAUUUGUGACUGCAAGGCUAGAGUACGGCAGAGGGGGAUGGAAUUCCGCGUGUAGCAGUGAAAUGCGUAGAUAUGCGGAGGAACACCAAUGGCGAAGGCAAUCCCCUGGGCCUGUACUGACGCUCAUGCACGAAAGCGUGGGGAGCAAACAGG
rnacentral:rRNA from 1 species